rnacentral:rRNA from 1 species
AGAGUUUGAUCCUGGCUCAGAUUGAACGCUGGCGGCAUGCCUAACACAUGCAAGUCGAACGCUAGAGGACUUAGGUUUUCUGGAGUGGCGGACGGGUGAGUAACGCGUAGGAAUCUGCCUUGAAGUGGGGGAUAACUUGGGGAAACCCGAGCUAAUACCGCAUGUUACCUGAGGGUGAAGGAGUGGGACUAGAAAUGGCCACUUGCUUUAAGAUGAGCCUGCGUCGGAUUAGCUAGUUGGUAGGGUAAAGGCCUACCAAGGCGAUGAUCCGUAGCUGGUCUGAGAGGAUGAUCAGCCACACUGGGACUGAGACACGGCCCAGACUCCUACGGGAGGCAGCAGUGGGGAAUAUUGGACAAUGGGGGCAACCCUGAUCCAGCGAUGCCGCGUGUGUGAAGAAGGCCUGCGGGUUGUAAAGCACUUUAGUGGGGGAGGAAGGGGAGCAUUCGAAUAGGGUGCUUCAUUGACGUUACCCCAAGAAUAAGCACCGGCUAACUCUGUGCCAGCAGCCGCGGUAAUACAGAGGGUGCGAGCGUUAAUCGGAAUUACUGGGCGUAAAGGGCGCGUAGGUGGUUUAAUAAGUCGUAUGUGAAAGGCCCGGGCUUAACCUGGGAAUGGCAUAGGAUACUGUUGAGCUAGAGUAGAGUAGAGGGAAGUGGAAUUUCCGGUAGCGGUGAAAUGCGUAGAUAUCGGAAGGAACAUCGGUGGCGAAGGCGGCUUCCUGGACUCAUACUGACGCUGAAGCGCGAAAGCGUGGGGAGCAAACAGGAUUAGAUACCCUAGUAGUCC